rnacentral:rRNA from 1 species
UACGUAGGGGGCAAGCGUUGUCCGGAUUUAUUGGGCGUAAAGAGCGUGUAGGCGGCCUGACAGGUCAGCUGUGAAAACUCGAGGCUCAACCUCGAGACGUCGGUUGAAACCAUCUGGCUAGAGUCCGGAAGAGGAGAGUGGAAUUCCCGGUGUAGCGGUGAAAUGCGCAGAUAUCGGGAAGAACACCCGUGGCGAAGGCGGCUCUCUGGGACGGUACUGACGCUGAGACGCGAAAGCGUGGGGAGCGAACAGG